GGGCGUAUAGCUCAGCCGGUUAGAGUGCACCCCUGAUAAGGGUGAGGUCCCAGGUUCAAGUCCUGGUACGCCCACCA
rnacentral:tRNA from 1 species